rnacentral:lncRNA from 1 species
CUGUUUACCCAGGUCUUCUACCCCACUAGCACUGGGCCCUGCUGACGCUGGCCUUGGUGAACCUGCUCUUGUCUGCUGCCUGCUCCAUGGGCCUCCUCCUGGCUGUAUCGCUCACUGUUGCCAAUGGUGGCCGCCGUCUUAUUGCUGAUUGCCACCCAGGACUGAUGGAUCCUUCCAUACCGCUGGACCAGGGGCCUGGACACACUGACUGCUCCUUUGAUCCCACAAGAAUUUAUGUGAGCUUAUUCUUGCUAUUGGAGAAACUCUGGUCCUCACCUUUGCUCCAAGGCCUAGUCCUCUUUGUUACUUUGGGUUUUAGGAUACAGCUUUGGCUCUCUGGAUCCCUUCUCUGUUCAUGUCUGCAGCUGAGGCUGCUCUUUCUGGUUACUGUUGUGUGGCUGCACUCACGCUACGGGGAAUUGGGCCCUGCAGGAAGGAAGGGUUGCAGGAACAGGUAAGGAAGAGGAACAGGAAGGGCUCGUUCCAUACCCUGGUUGUGUUGAAAAGGAGCUGGUGUGUCAAUUUAAGUCCCAAUUACUGAAUUCCCUCCUUUGGGCAGCUGCAGGAACUGACAGAGCUUGAACUUCCCGAGUGUAAAAGGCAGGAGAACGUGCAGCUGCUCCAUGGCCGUCAGGACUUCCAGGCCUUACAGAAGACCUGGGUUUAGGCAGGUGUUCUUCUGAGGCGCAGUCCACAGGUGUUUUCUACUACGCACGGGGGCCCUGACCCUAGGGUGGUAUAAAUAAUUGUAAUAAAAGAACUUGUAUUUUGUC